GAUGAACGCUCGCGGCAGGCCUAACACAUGCAAGUCGAGGGAGGAGCUUUCGGGCUUCGACCGGCGUACGGGUGCGUAACGCGUAUACAAUCUGCCUUUCACAUAGGGAUAGCCCGAAGAAAUUUGGAUUAAUACCUAAUGGUAUAUAGGAGUGGCAUCACAUUUAUAUUAAAGCUGAGGCGGUGAAAGAUGAGUAUGCGUUCUAUUAGCUAGUUGGAGAGGUAACGGCUCCCCAAGGCGACGAUAGAUAGGGGUUCUGAGAGGGAUAUCCCCCACACUGGUACUGAGAUACGGACCAGACGCCUACGGGAGGCAGCAGUGAGGAAUAUUGGACAAUGGUCGGAAGACUGAUCCAGCCAUGCCGCGUGCAGGAAGACGGCCUUAUGGGUGGUAAACUGCUUUUGCAGGGGAAGAAUAAGGACUACGAGUAGUUUGAUGACGGUACUCUGCGAAUAAGCAUCGGCUAACUCCGUG
rnacentral:rRNA from 1 species